GAUGAACGCUGGCGGCGUGCCUAAUACAUGCAAGUCGAGCGAACAGACGAGGAGCUUGCUCCUCUGACGUUAGCGGCGGGCGGGUGAGUAACACGUGGAUAACCUACCUAUAAGACUGGGAUAACUUCGGGAAACCGGCGCUAAUACCGGAUAAUAUAUUGAACCGCAUGGUUCAAUAGUGAAAGACGGUUUUGCUGUCACUUAUAGAUGGAUCCUCGCCGCAUUAGCUAGUUGGUAAGGUAACGGCUUACCAAGGCAACGAUGCGUAGCCGACCAGAGAGGGUGAUCGGCCACACUGGAACUGAGACACGGUCCAGACUCCUACGGGAGGCAGCAGUAGGGAAUCUUCCGCAAUGGGCGAAAGCCUGACGGAGCAACGCCGCGUGAGUGAUGAAGGUCUUCGGAUCGUAAAACUCUGUUAUUAGGGAAGAACAAAUGUGUAAGUAACUAUGCACGUCUUGACGGUACCUAAUCAGAAAGCCACGGCUAACUACGUG
rnacentral:rRNA from 1 species